UACGGAGGGUGCAAGCGUUAUCCGGAUUCACUGGGUUUAAAGGGUGCGUAGGUGGGCUGGUAAGUCAGUGGUGAAAUCUCCAGGCUUAACUUGGAAACUGCCAUUGAUACUAUCAGUCUUGAAUACCGUGGAGGUCAGCGGAAUAUGUCACGUAGCGGUGAAAUGCUUAGAUAUGACAUAGAACACCAAUUGCGAAGGCAGCUGGCUACACGAAUAUUGACACUGAUGCACGAAAGCGUGGGGAUCAAACAGG
rnacentral:rRNA from 1 species